rnacentral:rRNA from 1 species
AUUAAUAAGCGGAGGAAAAGAAACUAACGAGGAUUCCCUCAGUAACGGCGAGUGAAGCGGGAUCUAGCCCAGCACCGAAUCCCCCGGUGGAGACGCCGGCGGGAACUGUGGUGUUCGGGACGACCCACGCCCGUCGGUCGGACGCCCGAGUCCUCCUGAUAGGGGCUUCUCCCAGAGCGGGUGUAAGGCCUCUACGGCGUUCGAUCGGCGAGCCCGGGGAGUCCUAGGAGUCGGGUUGUUUGAGAUUGCAGCCCAAAGCGGGUGGUAAACUCCAUCUAAGGCUGAAUACGGGCACGAGUCCGAUAGC